rnacentral:rRNA from 1 species
AGAGCGAACGCUGGCGGCAGGCCUAACACAUGCAAGUCGAGCGCCUGUAGCAAUACGGGAGCGGCAGACGGGAUAGUAACACGUGGGAACGCGCCCUUCGGUUCGGAAUAACUCAGGGAAACUUGAGCUAAUACCGGAUACGCCCUUACGGGGAAAGAUUUAUUGCCGAAGGAACGGCCCGCGUCCGAUUAGCUAGUUGGUGAGGUAAUGGCUCACCAAGGCGACGAUCGGUAGCUGGUCUGAGAGGAUGACCAGCAUCACUGGGACUGAGACACGGCCCAGACUCCUACGGGAGGCAGCAGUGGGGAAUAUUGGACAAUGGGCGCAAGCCUGAUCCAGCCAUGCCGCGUGGAUGAUGAAGGCCUUAGGGUUGUAAGUCCUUUUAACGGGGAGAUAAUGACGGUACCCGUAGAAUAAGCCCGGCUAACUUCGUGCCAGCAGCCGC